rnacentral:lncRNA from 1 species
GAUGUGACAAUGGCGUAAAAAUAGGAGGCAUGCCACCCAAAUGAUAGUGACACGUCUCUCAAGUAACGGCGGUGGUGAGGCGCCCAACUGACUGCGCACACCAUCUGAAGACAACAUGCGAUGCCCAAGGGGGCGGCACGCACUGCCUGAGGCAAUGCCCGCUGCCCUAGCCUGCCAUACACGCAAGCCUACAACGUGCAAGGCGCUACGUGUUGGCCUAUUGUGCACCAACCGCAACUUGCGCGUUGCGUAAACAUGUCGUGUGCACAGUACAGUGCUUGCGCAGGCGGGAUCCUUCCCC